GCCGCGGUGGUCUAGAGGUAGAACGUUCGCCCCGAAUGCGGAAGGCCAGGGUUCGAAUCCCGGCCGCGACA